GAUGAACGCUGGCUACAGGCUUAACACAUGCAAGUCGAGGGGAAACGACGGGGAAGCUUGCUUCCCCGGGCGUCGACCGGCGCACGGGUGAGUAACGCGUAUCCAACCUGCCUCUGACUGAGGGAUAACCCGUCGAAAGUCGGCCUAAUACCUCAUGGCAUCGUCUGCGGGCAUCCAACGACGAUUAAAGAUUUCAUCGGUCAGGGAUGGGGAUGCGUCUGAUUAGCUUGUUGGCGGGGUAACGGCCCACCAAGGCUACGAUCAGUAGGGGUUCUGAGAGGAAGGUCCCCCACAUUGGAACUGAGACACGGUCCAAACUCCUACGGGAGGCAGCAGUGAGGAAUAUUGGUCAAUGGGCGGGAGCCUGAACCAGCCAAGUAGCGUGCAGGAUGACGGCCCUAUGGGUCGUAAACUGCUUUUAUGCGGGGAUAAAGUGAGGGACGUGUCCUUCAUUGCAGGUACCGCAUGAAUAAGGACCGGCUAAUUCCGUG
rnacentral:rRNA from 1 species